rnacentral:tRNA from 1 species
GGGCCGGUGGCCGAGUGGUUGAAGGCGUCGGACUGUAACCCCGAAGGGAAACCCGCGUUGGUUCGAAUCCAACCCGUCCCACCA